CACAGAGGCUCUUGUGGGGUCAGCGCGCCUCGUCGGUGGAGACCCGAUCCUGCUUCCCAGGCGGCUCUUAGGGAUCAAGUCCCUGGAGUCGGCGUCCUCGGCCUUGUGUGCCUUUUACACGUGGGAAACUGAGGAUUGGAGUGCGGGGUCAGCCAAGGUCACGCCCCGACCAGGGCCGGACGACUGGGGAGUCCACUAAGCUUGAAGGACCCGCCUGGGUCCCCGCCCAGUUCACAGGGUGGACUGGCGACGGGUAGCCGGGUCGGACGCAGGGAUGACCUGGUAGCUGACAGCCACCAAGAAAACAGGAAUAUCAGCCCUACAACCACAAGGAACUGAAAUUGCCCAACGACUCAAAUGAGCAGGAAACAGAAUUUCCUCCACUCCAUGAAAAAAACCACAACCCUGCCAACAACUUGAGUUGAGCACAGUGAGCCCAUCCCAGGUCUCAGUGGGCAUAUGACAUAUAGAACUAUAAUAUAAAUUUGUGUUGUUUAAGCCAUAAGUUUGUGGUAAUUUGUUAGGACAGCAAUAGAAAGCUAAUACAUCAACAUUAUUCUUCAAGUACUUUUUUUUUUGGCCAUGCUACGCAGCUUGCGGGAUCUUAGUUCCCCGACCAGAGACUGAACCUGGGCCACAGCAGUGAGAGCACUGAGUCCUCACCAUUGGAUCACCAAGAAAUUCCCUUCAAGUACUUUACUUUCUAAUGCAAGAAUAUUUCCUAUGCUCGUGUUAUACUUUUCCAGCUCCAACCUGGAAAUAGCCUCUUAUCUAAGGAGUUCUGAUUCUUUUUAUUGAAAUAUCGUAUUCAUAAGCCAA